ACGGGAGGCAGCAGUAAGGAAUAUUGGACAAUGGGCGCAAGCCUGAUCCAGCCAUGCCGCGUGAAGGAUGAAGGCCCUAUGGGUCGUAAACUUCUUUUAUACGGGACAAAACCGUCCGACGUGUCGGGGGUUGAUGGUACUGUAAGAAUAAGGGUCGGCUAACUUCGUGCCAGCAGCCGCGGUAAUACGAAGGACCCAAGCGUUAUCCGGAUUUAUUGGGUUUAAAGGGUGCGUAGGCGGAUUAGUAAGUCAGUGGUGAAAGCCCAUCGCUCAACGGUGGAACUGCCAUUGAUACUGCUAGUCUUGAGUAUGGUUGAGGUGGGCGGAAUGUGUCAUGUAGCGGUGAAAUGCUUAGAUAUGGCACAGAACACCAAUUGCGAAGGCAGCUCGCUAAGCCAUAACUGACGCUGAGGCACGAAAGCGUGGGGAGCAAACAGGAUUAGAUACCCUGGUAGUCCACGCCCUAAACGAUGAUAACUCGAUGUUGGCGAUACACAGUCAGCGUCUAAGCGAAAGCAUUAAGUUAUCCACCUGGGAAGUACGACCGCAAGGUUGAAACUCAAAGGAAUUGACGG
rnacentral:rRNA from 1 species